rnacentral:tRNA from 1 species
GGUUGCAGCUCAGUGGUAGAGUGCUCACCUCGCAUGUGGAAGGCCCUGGGUUCAAUCCUUAGCACCA